AGAAUCUAUUAGAAUGCAAUAUU
rnacentral:siRNA from 1 species